AUUGAACGCUGGCGGCAGGCCUAACACAUGCAAGUCGAGCGAGCGGCGGACGGGUGAGUAAUGUCUGGGAAACUGCCUGAUGGAGGGGGAUAACUACUGGAAACGGUAGCUAAUACCGCAUACCAUCGGAUGUGCCCAGAUGGGAUUAGCUAGGAGAUGGGGUAAAGGCUCACCUAGGCGACGAUCCCUAGCUGGUCUGAGAGGAUGACCAGCCACACGGGAACUGAGACACGGUCCAGACUCCUACGUGAGGCAGCAGUGGGGAAUAUUGCACAAUGGGCGCAAGCCUGAUACAUCCAUGCCGCGUGUAUGAAGAAGGCCUUCGGGUUGUAAAGUACUUUCAGCGGGGAGGCGUUACCAACAGAAUAAGCACCGGCUAACUUCGUGCCAGCAGCCGCGGUAAUAC
rnacentral:rRNA from 1 species